rnacentral:rRNA from 1 species
UAGCUAAUCCUGGUCGGACAUCAGGAGGUUAGUGCAAUGGCAUAAGCUAGCUUGACUGCGAGCGUGACGGCGCGAGCAGGUGCGAAAGCAGGUCAUAGUGAUCCGGUGGUUCUGAAUGGAAGGGCCAUCGCUCAACGGAUAAAAGGUACUCCGGGGAUAACAGGCUGAUACCGCCCAAGAGUUCAUAUCGACGGCGGUGUUUGGCACCUCGAUGUCGGCUCAUCACAUCCUGGGGCUGAAGUAGGUCCCAAGGGUAUGGCUGUUCGCCAUUUAAAGUGGUACGCGAGCUGGGUUUAGAACGUCGUGAGACAGUUCGGUCCCUAUCUGCCGUGGGCGCUGGAGAAUUGAGGGGGGCUGCUCCUAGUACGAGAGGACCGGAGUGGACGCAUCACUGGUGUUCGG